rnacentral:misc_RNA from 1 species
GAUAGGGCAAAGCAGCGCCCCGUGUCGUGGCGAGAGCCACGGACGAGAGGAUAUAUACGGUAGUGCGACUUUCCGUUCUGGUCGUGCGUAUGCUCCGUCCGUGGAACCGAGUAAGACAGUACGCCAUAUUCCCACGGUGGUCGGUGGCGUGACAGAGACAACGAUAGGCGGCCGGACGGAUGACAGAAAUGCACGACCGGGUAAACGCGAACGUCAUCGACAGACGCGGCCAGCAUCAGCGGUGGCGAAAUCGCGUGGUUCGCGCGUAAUUUGGGGCGUGUGCCAUUCGCCGUGGAUCGCGGCUCUCGCUUCGUCUGUCCCAACAUUCCUCUCUCUCUCUUCCCCUCCCCCCCUCCUUGAGUGAUACUGUUCUCGGUAGGCCCGUGUACACUAGCAACGUGUAAUGUACUCGUGUACCGUGAAAAUUGCGGAUGAGGGCGACGAUGCGCCAGCGACGGCGCGCAUCACCGUCCCGUGACACGGCGACGUCGUGCGCUGCCUGUGUGUACGCCCGCGUCCGCGGCUGCUGAAACGGUCUGUCGGGAGCCAAAGGCAGAGAGGGACGGAUGGACAGCCAAUCAGUCGGUUAGUCAGCCGGUCGAUCGGUCCGUCAUCUAGCUAGGUAGACGAGAGCAAGGCAGAAACGAGCAGGUAGACAGGUCGGUGCGGCCAUUUUUACACCGCAAGAUGCGGCAACCGUGCGUGCCCGUUCGAUCCGCCAUUCCAAACAAUCGGUGCGCUACGUGCCCUCCUCGCGGGAUGCGUCCGACGGCGGCGAGUCGCGGUGCUGGCACCGCCGUGCUGCGACGACAACGAUAAAGGCGCCGCGGCCGCGCUGCGCCAACCAACCAACCAGCCAGCCAAUCGGUCAGUCAGUCAGUCAGUCGGACGGACGGACGGACGGACGGACGCACGAGGAGACACGCUGCUGUUGCCCGCAGACGUAAGGCGGUGCGCGAGACGUGACGUCGCGAGGACGGGAGGACGACGGCCAGCGGCCGCCGGUAGUAGUAGUGGUGGCAGUAGGUGUGCUGAACGGCGGUGGACGACGACGUCGUCGUCUCGCGGACGAACGACGACGGUGGCGAGGAGGAAACGGUGGAGGCGACGCGGCGGGGCAGGAGGAGACGGCGGAGAAGAAGAGGAGGAAGAAGAGGGAAGAAGAGAAACGUGAUCGCGGUGGCGCGAUAACGCGACGAGGAGGAGAUGAUAACGGCGCGUAGUCCCGCGGCUACGAGGAGGGCGAGAACGGAAAGUGGAAACGGCAGCCCCGCUGCGGUGUGAUCGAGUUGCACCGCUCACAUCAGCCGUGCGUGCUUCUCGUGCGGGAGGCUCUGCGGUUCGCAGUGAUUCAAAACGAGGAUAGGCUAGGCCGUGGUGCGUAAAUCCGCGGGUGCUGGUGCGCCCGUGCGGAUGAUAAUAACCGUUGGUGUGUCGAGCGCAUCUGGUCUCUACUCUCCGGGAGUUGGCACCAGAGAGUAGCUCCUCCGAUUUCUACGUACGCGCUCUCGGUGUGCUAAAGUGUGCUCGCUCAACGCGGCGCGUUCCGUUCUCAGUGUGUGCAUUUGUGUACGUGCUCUCUCUCUCUCUCUCUCUCUCUCUCUCUCGCUCGCUCGCUCGCUCGCUCUUGCCCGCUUGACUCGCGCGCGGUCUCUCCGUCUCCCUCCCUGCCUGUCUGCCUCUUCAUCUCUCUCUCGUAUCUGUCCGCCCUGCGUGCGUGUUUCUCGCGUGCCUCCUCGCCACACGCACCCGGACUACUCUCUCCUCAUCCUCGACCACCGCGCGAUCGAUGUGACAUCGUGCCGUGCCGCGUCGUGAGCAGUGUGCUCGGCUCUUGUGUGCUCGCCUCGCGGUAUCGCGGAUACGCAUCGCACCGCGAGCGACAGGACUCGUUUGACGAGCCGCCGCGCCAAGGGACACCGAGGCUCCCGGCGUUUACGCGCGUACAAGCGAGUACGCGGCGACGGUGCGUGCGUGCAUGCGUUGCCGACGGCAACGUCUCUCUCGUGAGUGCGCGUAUCCCGAGGCAGUUGUGUGGCGCGCUCCUCUCUCUUUCUCUCCUCCCUGCCCUGUCCCUUCUACCUCGUCUCUCCCUACCAUCGUCCUCUCUCCCCGCCAGUGCCCUGCGCCCCUUCGCCCAUCGUCUUCCUUUCUUUCCCUCCGUCCUUUUCCCGGUUCUCUCUCUCGCGCCCUCCCUUUCCCUUCCUCACUUUUCUUUCUCUCGUUCCUCCCUCCUCCGUCCCGCUUCCCAUCGGUCGAGACGACCGUAGAAUGCACGACGAGGCUGCCACAGUCGUCGUCGCUGUCAUCUGUUCCCGCAUUCCCUCCAUCAUUGUCGUGCUCGUCGGCUCCGUCGUCGCUCUCGUCCGUGCCAACGUACGUCUACGUUGACCGGCUUGUUGAAGAGGACAUCGCGCGCCGCGGGUGAUAACGCGCUGCUAGCCUAUCUAGUGGACCUCUUUUAGUGAGUUCAGUGCCGUGGUGAUCGCGCGAACGUCAUGGAGAUCGAAGCGAAGCAGCGUAGCCAGAAGACUCGCCGACGGGAGCGGGCGCAGCGCAUGCUGGCGCAGAGGGAGAGCCUGGCCACCGCGAAGCAGCAGCAACAGCAGCAGCAGCAGCAACAGUCGCAGCAAUCGCGGCAACGGCCGCCGAACGACGAGGAGGACAGUCACAGCGGCGAGGACGAGGACCCCGCCGGCGGCGGCGGCGGUCUCGGCCUCGGACUCGGACUCGGUGCCAAGACCGGUCAUCCGCGGGACGGCCACUCGCGGCCGCCCAGGCCGCCACGACCCUCCAGGCACCGCAAGAAGUCUUCUCUCGCGGCCGCUAACCAGAAGGAGCCACCCUUCGAGGAGGACAUUAUCGAUGGAUUCGCCAUCCUCGCCUUCCGCACGUACGACGACCUCGAGAGUGCAAUAAAAUUAGCUGGUAAAAAUAAUGUCAAGAAACUGCACACGUUGCUGUCAAUAGUGGAGGAGAAGCCAAAAGUGGACACAGGGCAGAAUAACAGGCACAACGAGCAUCACAUCAAAAACAAUUUCAAGCACAACCAUUACACACAUAAUUCCAUACUGACACCCUCGACGCUAAACCAGGGCCUAGAUGCAGGUACAAGUGACGAUAGUGGUAGAGCGUCUGAACAAUUACACGGCCCUGGUAUACCUAGGGAUUGCCAGGACGCAGACAGUUCCAGGGACCAUCUCAGCGAUGCUAGCAGUCAUUGCAGUUCGGGUAAAGGUUAUAUCUGUGAUAGUGAAGGAGAAGACGAUAAGGGCUCGGAUGCCGAAUCGAUACUCUUUGAAUCUUCUACCCCACCACCUCUUACACGUAAAUACGAGUUGCCGUCUUCUUCGCCACACGUUUUGCCACCCGCAAACGGAGCAGGCGGAUCUCCACCGGACACGGGUGGGCAAAUUUCUAAUCCAGCAACGGAUGCUCCGGCACCUAUACCGCCUCCUGUGUCUGCAUCUGCACCAACAGCGCCGAGUCCUCCCAGCCCCACGUUGCCCCCACACAUAUCCCAGCCUCCUAUGACUAGUCCUCUGGCAGCGAAUCCACGUGCAAUAGCUCCGCAACAGCGGCCAGCUUCCCCCGCUCUGCCACCACCCUCCCUUUCCCAGCAGCCGCACACCACAAUACCUGCAUUGCAUCCACCUAACGUACCCCUCGUCUCGUCGAGCCACACAACUAGUCCAGCGGUAGCCAGCUUGGGUGUCACCCCGGCGGCACCAUCGAACGGAGCGGCUACCACGAGCUAUCCGCCACCCAUUCCCAUCGCCGCGUAUCCACAGACACAGCCGUCGUAUCCGCCGCUUUACACCCCGUACACCGCUUUAAAUCACAGCCCGUACCUCCCGCCUGCAGUACCAUCUCCUUCUCACUCGGCUUCAUCGCGCGCGGACGUGAGAGGGAGUAGAGCUUCCCCUUGCACCAAUAUAAACAAACAGACGAUAAGCAGUAAUCUUACAAGUCACAACACUAAUACCCCGCUGAGCGCCGCUACCACGACAUGCGUGUCCACCAUAACUAAUACAGUUACCACGGCGAAUUCUAUCGCUCAUAGAGACAUGGUGGCCUGCAGUCUGUCUGGACGAAACAAUAACUCACCGCGUGGACACAGCCCUAGUCGAGAAAGGGAUAGUUACAGCAGCAACGUGAGUAGUCUAAGCCGAGGCAGCAUAACGCCCGUUAGUGUGCCAAACACCUCCUCUCCAGCCAAUUCUAGUCUACCUGUGUAUACCAAGCCACAAGGUUGGAUCAGCAACACAGCUUCCCAGUUAUCUCCGGCGACAGCUACGUCCGUACCGAGGCCGACUCCACCACCGGUACCGCUCGGUAUACACACGUUCCCACCACCGAUGUUCGCGGCGCCGUUACCACCGCCCGUAUCCAGCUCGAGCCCGCACACUUCAUUGCCUUCGUUGCCUCCACCAACGACCAAUCCCAAUCCGUUUUCAGCGGAGUCUCUGUUCCAAACAAAAGGGGUGACGCAUGUUGCAGGUCAGGCAGAUCUCCUGAGAAGAGAGCUCGAUAGUAGGUUCUUAGCGUCUCAAGACAGAAAUGUUGGGGUUGGAGUGGGUCCACCGGCGUAUCUUCGUACGGAAAUGCAUCAUCACCAACAUCAGCACACGCAUGUACAUCAGCAUACGACGCCGUUAUUGCCACCUGCCGCGGCGACAACGCUCUUUCCACCUCCAAUUUUUAAGGACAUCCCGAAAUUGGGUGGUGUCGAAUCGCCAUUUUUUCGUGGAAACUUAAAUCUUUCUGGUUAUUCCGGCUUUAACACUGGUCUUCUUCAUCCCGGAAUUGGUCCGCCUUCGACACCCUUUGUGCCACCUAAUCAUCUACCUUCGUUUGCGCCAAAGAAAAGUGGAAAAUGGAAUGCGAUGCAUGUGCGCAUUGCGUGGGAAAUAUAUCAUCAUCAGCAGAAGCAGCAGGCUGAAGCUAAAGCGGGAAGUGUCGUCAGUACCAAAACUGAGUUACUAAGACCACCAGGCCAUCUUUAUCCAGGGGGACCAGGCAGUGGUCUUGGACUUGGUGCACCAUCAAUGGCACCUCCGUUUCCCACUAAUAUGCCACCUGCCCAUCCUGCACCACCUCCACCUCAUCCUGUCGGUUUUCUAUCUACACCAGCUUCACAUUUAGGUAAUAGAGGAACUGGCAUGUCUCCUUUCGGAAGGUAUCCUUCAACAUUCGGCGCGCCGAAUCCCAAUUUUCCGGGUCUUUCAACUUUUCCGCCAAGAGAGAUGCCACCUCUUGGCGGCCUCGGAUCAGUGCAUGAUCCGUGGCGAGGGUUGCAACGCGCCACCACUGGAUUUCCACCGACCACUGUUUCAUGGGGUUUGAAACCGGAACCUCCCGCGAUAGACAGACGUGCUGAAUUGGAGGAACGGGAGCGCGAGCGUGAACGUGAAAGAGAACGCGAACAGGCACGCGAACGCGAACGUGAACGCGAGCGCGUCAGACGCGAAAAGGAGAGGGAGAGGGAGGAGCAACGUGAGAGAGAAAGGCGAGAGCGCGAGAAGGAAGAGAAAAGGAAACAGCAGGAGGCGGCCGAACGAGAGCGAGAAAGACGGGACAAGGAGCGUCGCGAGAUGGAGAGACGCGAAAUGGAGCGCGAGAGGAUGCUUCAUCAGAAUCGACAGCACGUGGUUGUUCCCCGGGAUCGCUCGCCGCUCAGGAAUGGUUCGGCGCCUUUGGACAUCGGCGAGGUGCGCGUGAAGGAGGAACCGCGCAGCAAGGACGACGAGGUUGUAAUGCUUCCGCGGCCGCCAGUACCUGGUCCUGGAACAACUGGCUCUGCAGCAGGACCCGGAGCGAAUCCACUGCCUGAUCCGAGAUACCACCAUCCGCAUCCGCACACCUAUCUUACGAGGCAUCCGCAUGGUAUGCCAGCUUCGCAUUCCAUGCCGCGCAGCAUGCUUCCCAGUUUGAGCGCACACCCGAUGCAGCAUUUCCCACCGCCAUCCGCACCCGCCGGCCAACCGGGAGCACCCUGGUCGAGUGAUCCCUUCCGGGAUUAUCGGUACGACCCGUUGCAGCAGUUGCGAUAUAACCCGCUGAUGGCGGCUGCGGCGUUCCGAGCGGAGGAAGAGGAACGGGCGAAACUGUACGCCGGUUACCCUCCUCCACCGGUAAACAGCCUCAGGAGUAAGGAUCCUAGUCCAGGCCCGCUCAGCAACUUGCAUAUGCAUCAUAGAGCAGGACCUGGACCGGGAGUAUCCGCACGUCCGCUCGAGAAUGCCCUUAUGCAUGCGGAUAUUCACAAGAAGGAAGAUGGGUCGCAGUCCCGAUGAUACAUCGUCCCCGCGUCCUCGGUUUCUGCGAGCGAACGCAAUGAUAAACCGACGUUCUGAGUAGCCAAUAAUACUCGGAAUACGGUGCUGAUAUUUUGCUAACAAAGAAGAAGCGAUAUUUAAAGAAAGAAAUUAUCGAAAAAUGAAGAAUAUGAGAAAACGCAUAGGACUCCUACAAGAGAACGUAACGAAGAUGCCUUGAUAUUGACGUCGGUUUCUACUGAUAUUGACGGCUGCUAACGAUGAUUUCACGAGAUAACUACGGAGGCAUCGCUGAUGUGUCACAAAUGAUAACGCUGACAUUAUGUGAUUUCUGCAGUUUCGGUGAUCUGACUGUCUUUAGUAGUAACAAACCCUAACUAUUACGACGAUAACUAUGCGUACAGUUUAAAAAGUAUCGUGUGUAAUAUUAAUAGUUAUAGAAUGCGAGGCGAUGGCUACGUAACAAGGAAAAAAAAAACGAAUCCAAGUUAGGAGAAAGCGUUCAGCGGAUCUCUAUUAUUAUUCAAAAAUUAUUUAAUUAUUUAUUUAUUGCGACGUGUAAACGAAAAUGAAUCUCUACAUACUGGCGUAUGUGAAUGCGGACGAAAUAUUUGCCCUAAUUUAAUUGAUGUAAUAUAAAAAAAGAAGAUGUGUAAAUUUUACUUCUUAGAUUUUUAUUUGUGUGUAUAUUUUAGAGACGAUAGAACAAAAAGAGAGGGCAUACGAAAACAGUGUUCUUUGGCUUUCGGCAGCACGUGCUUCUUUCAUUUGCAUACUGGCUACGGUAAUACUCUGGUGCUUUCCUGUGAUAUACAAAAAAAAAAAGAAAAAAAGGUUCAGAAGUAAUAAAUUAUUAAUUUCACAUCGUAAUUCGCGACAACCAGAGUUGACAGAUGCAAAUAAAGAAAUCAAACUAUUCCCGAGGAAAUUAUAUCGAUCAGAUAUUUCGUUUCGGAAGGUACAGAAUGACGUUUAAUGUAAUGGCAGUUUGUCCGUGCCAAAGUGCUUCAAUCAAAGAAUAUUCAAAGCCUCUUUACGCGUUUACAAAAUACCGAAAAUUUUUAUUCUUCUCUUUUAAUUACGCUGUUGAUUUUUAUGAUAUUUUUAUGCUUCGUUCUUUUAUCCUUCAAUUUUUAACUCGGGUUAGAUUAAAUUAUUAUUCAAGUCGAAUUAUUAUCUCGCUUUUUCUUUCGAGCCAUGUACGUCGUGUUACCAGAGAGCCAAUUUGAGAUCUCUUAAAAGUUCUGUGCCAUGGACCAGGAUAAAUUCGAAUAUUCCUGGUGCCUCAAAUCGGAAAAAAAAAAUAUGGACUUCUCUAAAUAAUCGGAAUAAUUCUCAGACUCUGUUUCGUUUAUACUGUAAAACCAUAAAACUGUAUAUUAUAUCAUACAAUUAACGACUAUACACGCAGUUUAAAAAUUGUAGAUAUUUUUCAUCGAUGCAAAGUUACAAUGUGAUGCAAUGAUUUUUUUGUUCAUGUAGAUAUCGCGGAACAUAAAAGAGGAUUUUGUGUGAAUAGGUUUUUUCUAAAAUUGAUUCUUUGUAAAAGGAUCUAAUAAUCAUAGUUUCUAUCAA